UACGGGAGGCAGCAGUGGGGAAUAUUGCACAAUGGGCGCAAGCCUGAUGCAGCCAUGCCGCGUGUAUGAAAAAGGCCUUCGGGUUGUAAAGUACUUUCAGUCGUGAGGAAGGUGUUAAGGUUAAUAACCUUAGCAAUUGACGUUAGCGACAGAAGAAGCACCGGCUAACUCCGUGCCAGCAGCCGCGGUAAUACGGAGGGUGCGAGCGUUAAUCGGAAUUACUGGGCGUAAAGGGCACGCAGGCGGUUAAUUAAGUUGGAUGUGAAAUCCCCGGGCUUAACCUGGGAAUGGCAUUCAAGACUGGUUAGCUAGAGUCUUGUAGAGGGGGUAGAAUUCCAUGUGUAGCGGCGAAAUGCGUAGAGAUGUGGAGGAAUACCGGUGGCGAAGGCGGCCCCUGGGACAAAGACUGACGCUCAUGUGCGAAAGCGUGGGGAGCAAACAGGGAUUAGAUACC
rnacentral:rRNA from 1 species